UGCAGUCGAGCGGUAAGGCCUUUCGGGGUACACGAGCGGCGAACGGGUGAGUAACACGUGGGUGAUCUGCCCUGCACUUCGGGAUAAGCCUGGGAAACUGGGUCUAAUACCGGAUAUGACCUCCUAUCGCAUGGUGGGUGGUGGAAAGAUUUAUCGGUGCAGGAUGGGCCCGCGGCCUAUCAGCUUGUUGGUGGGGUAAUGGCCUACCAAGGCGACGACGGGUAGCCGACCUGAGAGGGUGACCGGCCACACUGGGACUGAGACACGGCCCAGACUCCUACGGGAGGCAGCAGUGGGGAAUAUUGCACAAUGGGCGAAAGCCUGAUGCAGCGACGCCGCGUGAGGGAUGACGGCCUUCGGGUUGUAAACCUCUUUCAGCAGGGACGAAGCGCAAGUGACGGUACCUGCAGAAGAAGCACCGGCUAACUACGUGCCAGCAGCCGCGGUAAUACGUAGGGUGCAAGCGUUGUCCGGAAUUACUGGGCGUAAAGAGUUCGUAGGCGGUUUGUCGCGUCGUUUGUGAAAACCAGCAGCUCAACUGCUGGCUUGCAGGCGAUACGGGCAGACUUGAGUACUGCAGGGGAGACUGGAAUUCCUGGUGUAGCGGUGAAAUGCGCAGAUAUCAGGAGGAACACCGGUGGCGAAGGCGGGUCUCUGGGCAGUAACUGACGCUGAGGAACGAA
rnacentral:rRNA from 1 species